rnacentral:lncRNA from 1 species
AGCCAUUUGACAAAGGCACAAAAAGCACACACAAGCGAACAAGUUGAGACGCGAAAAAAUCCCCUCUUACCCAACCGCUUUCCACUCCAAGCCUCCCCUGGAGCGAUGCAGUGCGGCAGCGGCUGGCGAAGGGCUUGUCUGCCGGAGAUAACAAAGAGAGCGUCAAAGAGGGGGCCAGGAAACGGAUGGACUGCAGGCCUGCUGGGAGGGGAUAGUGGAGGGGAGGCGAAACAAAAGCGACAUAUCAACAAAUGUUGCCGGCAUAGAAGACCCAGCUUCCGUGGCAGCCACACGCCUGUCAAUGAAGCGGCGGCAGCCACGCGCAACACUCGUGGUUUGUGCACCAAAAAAGGCAAGCAUAAUAAAAGGAUACCCUGGUAAUUAAAGUGCAGCAGUACUUUCGCUGUGUAGCCAUAUACCCUAGCGCUCUCAACGUUUACUGGGUAUUCCAGGAGCCAAUGAAUGGAGAGGGGAAAGUACAUCAGGAGGAUAAAAAUCGAAGUAGCGAUGCCAUGCAGCGCAGGACACUCAGCAGGAGCACAAACCAAAUGCAAAUCACACGGAAAGGAAAACGAAUACGUAAUCUGAACGUGUUUAGUCCUUAGUAUUUCAAACAGCAGCAGGAGAAGGAGCAGCAGACGGGGUAAAACCACGGACGAACCCAAAAAAGCAGACCAUAAAUUUAUUGUUAACGUUGCCUCAUGCAAAUUGAAUCCUUUCGUUGUGUUGUCCAGACCAUGGGACACUCUUUGGGUGUCUGUCUUUGAAUGCUUAAGAGGUUGCCACGCUUUCUCGUUAUCUCUGGCCAAUGGGGAUUAACUUGAGGCAUAAUAGCAGGUCCUGGCAUAAUAAUAAACGUUAUUUAUGGCUUAACCAUAGAGAGGAUAUAAAUUGUAGAUGAUAAUAUUCGCAUUGUAGCGUCUUUUGUU